rnacentral:rRNA from 1 species
UGGUGGAGUGAUUUGUCUGGUUAAUUCCGAUAACGAACGAGAUCACAAUGUAUUAAAUAGUGGGGUCAAACGUCUCACAGGUGAAGUUGUUAGCAGAUUGGGAGUCCGCUCUCUUUCUCUUUCGAUGGAUCCUUGGCGAUUUUGACUAGGCUUCUUAAGCGGACAAUUGAGGUAUACUCAGUGGAAGUGUGGCAAUAACA